AAUAUUGUUCAAUGGAGGCAACUCUGAACCAGCCAUGCCGCGUGCAGCAUGACGGUCCUAUGGAUUUUAAACUGCUUUUGUACGGGAACAAACCCUUCUACGUGUAGGAGGCUGAGUGUACCGUAAGAAUAAGGAUCGGCUAACUCCGUACCAGCAGCUGCGGUAAUACGGAGGAUCCAAGCGUUAUCCGGAGUUAUUGGGUUUAAAGGGUGCGUAGGCGGCCCGUUAAGUCAGGGGUGAAAGACGGCAGCUCAACUGUCGCAGUGCCUUUGAUACUGACGGGCUUGAAUGCGGAUGAGGUAGGCGGAAUGAGACAAGUAGCGGUGAAAUGCAUAGAUAUGUCUCAGAACUCCGAUUGCGAAGGCAGCUUACUAAGCCGUGAUUGACGCUGAUGCACGAAAGCGUGGGGAUCAAACAG
rnacentral:rRNA from 1 species